CGGAGCGUAGCGCAGCCUGGUAGCGCAUCUGCUUUGGGAGCAGAGGGUCGCAGGUUCGAAUCCUGCCGCUCCGA
rfam:Aurantimonas sp. TSBA 369 genome assembly, contig: Ga0111599_101